rnacentral:tRNA from 1 species
GGGGCUGUAGCUCAGAUGGGAGAGCACCUCCCUUGCACGGAGGGGGUCAGGGGUUCAAGUCCCCUCAGCUCCA